rnacentral:rRNA from 1 species
CACGUAGGGCGCGAGCGUUGUCCGGAAUUAUUGGGCGUAAAGAGCUCGUAGGCGGCCUGUUGCGUCCGCUGUGAAAGCCCCGGGGCUUAACCCCGGGUCGGCAGUGGAUACGGGCAGGCUAGAGGUAGGUAGGGGAGAAUGGAAUUCCCGGUGUAGCGGUGAAAUGCGCAGAUAUCAGGAGGAACACCGGUGGCGAAGGCGGGUCUCUGGGCAGUAACUGACGCUGAGGAGCGAAAGCGUGGGGAGCGAACAGG